rnacentral:sRNA from 1 species
UCAAUGUUAUGGUUCCGUUUGUUCUGCUCCUGCACUCCAACUUCACUUUCGCGCCUGCACAAACACAAUUAAAAAUGUAAAAAAUAAGAUAAAAUAAAUAGA